rnacentral:rRNA from 1 species
AGUAACGCGUGAGGAACCUGCCUCAAAGGGGGGACGAACAGUUGGAAACGACUGCUAAUACCGCAUAAGCCCACAGCUCGGCAUCGAGCAGAGGGAAAAGGAGUGAUCCGCUUUGAGAUGGCCUCGCGUCCGAUUAGCUAGUUGGUGAGGUAAUGGCCCACCAAGGCGACGAUCGGUAGCCGGACUGAGAGGUUGAACGGCCACAUUGGGACUGAGACACGGCCCAG